GUCUGGAAUGAUAAAGUUCUAUGGCAGCACAUGUGCCACGCUUACGAUCAAGGAUGUAACGGAAAUGGGGUUAAUGCAAUGGUUAUUUUUAGUGUUUUUAAUAGUUAUUUCUUUUUUUGUAUUAUUUGUAAAUCAUGCCGUUCGUUUUCUCUUUUAAACUGUUUUACACUCGUCAUUGUGUGGUCCUAAAUAGCCUGAUUCAAUGUGCUCCAUGUUGCAGGUCAUAAUAUAAUAAUGUGCAUACACCAACAAAAUUUAGUCGUUGGUGAAUAGUUGUUUUGUUGACAAGUUAGUGUUAUGUAUUUAAAUAAGACUGUUUCAAUUAUUUUCCGCUGGUUGUUGAUACCACUCGGUUGUAAUAGAUUACUUUUUGCAGGGUUAUUAUACGGUAACCUAUAGUUAAUAAAAAAAUAUUUAACCUUGGAUAGAGCCAUAUUGUCUCAUUGGCAUUCAUUUUAU
rnacentral:lncRNA from 1 species